AGAGUUUGAUCCUGGCUCAGGAUGAACGCUAGCUACAGGCUUAACACAUGCAAGUCGAGGGGAAACGAUAGAGAAAGCUUGCUUUUUCUAGGCGUCGACCGGCGCACGGGUGAGUAACGCGUAUCCAACCUGCCCACCACUUGGGGAUAACCUUGCGAAAGUAAGACUAAUACCCAAUGAUAUCUCUAGAAGACAUCUGAAAGGGAUUAAAGAUUCAUCGGUGAUGGAUGGGGAUGCGUCUGAUUAGCUUGUUGGCGGGGUAACGGCCCACCAAGGCGACGAUCAGUAGGGGUUCUGAGAGGAAGGUCCCCCACAUUGGAACUGAGACACGGUCCAAACUCCUACGGGAGGCAGCAGUGAGGAAUAUUGGUCAAUGGGCGAGAGCCUGAACCAGCCAAGUAGCGUGCAGGAUGACGGCCCUAUGGGUUGUAAACUGCUUUUAUAAGGGAAUAAAGUGAGAGUCGUGACUCUUUUUGCAUGUACCUUAUGAAUAAGGACCGGCUAAUUCCGUG
rnacentral:rRNA from 1 species